AAAUCCGGCAUCAGAGCUGAAACCUGAAAGUACGGGGUCCCCUUCGGGGGAACCUGAGAGCGAGGGUAACCAUACUCCCGAGAAAAUGGGCUAAACUCAUGUUGGCGGUACCCGUACCGCAAACCGACACAGGUAGUUGGGUAGAACAUACUAAGGCGUUGAGAGAUUCAUGGCUAAGGAACUAGGCAAACUGACCCCGUAACUUCGGGAUAAGGGGUCCUCACCUCCGGGUGAGGCGCAGAGAAUAGGUCCAGGCAACUGUUUAACAAAAACACAGGGCUGUGCGAACUCGAAAGAUGAAGUAUACAGCCUGACACCUGCCCGGUGCCGGAAGGUUAAGAGGAGAUGUCACCGCAAGGGAAGCAUUGAAUUGAAGCCCCGGUAAACGGCGGCCGUAACGAUAACGGUCCUAAGGUAGCGAAAUUCCUUGUCGGGUAAGUUCCGACCUGCACGAAUGGUGUAAUGAUCCGGACGCUGUCUCGGCCAUGAGCUCAGUGAAAUUGUAGUAUCGGUGAAGAUGCCGAUUACCCGCGAUGGGACGAAAAGACCCCGUGAACCUUUACUACAGCUUAGCAUUGACCUUGGUCAUCCGAUGUGUAGGAUAGGCCGGAGGCUUCGAAGCGGCGUCGCCAGGCGUUGUGGAGCCAUCCUUGAAAUACGGCCCUUUGGCUGUCUGAGGUCUAACGCGGAUAGUCGCGGACACUGCUUGGUGGGUAGUUUGACUGGGGUGGUCGCCUCCAAAAGCGUAACGGAGGCUUCCAAAGGUGCCCUCGGGCCGUUUGGUAAGCGGCCUUCAAGAGUGCAAUGGCAAAAGGGCGCUUGACUGGGAGGGAGACAUCCCGAGCAGGCAGGAAACUGGGGCAUAGUGACCCGGCGGAUGUGUAUGGAAACUCCGUCGCUCAAAGGAUAAAAGGUACUCCGGGGAUAACAGGCUGAUCCCCCCCAAGAGCUCAUAUCGACGGGGUGGUUUGGCACCUCGAUGUCGGCUCGUCACAUCCUGGGGCUGGAGAAGGUCCCAAGGGUUGGGCUGUUCGCCCAUUAAAGUGGCACGCGAGCUGGGUUCAGAACGUCGUGAGACAGUUCGGUCUCUAUCUAUCGUGGGCGCAGGAGUUUUGAGUGGUGCUGUCACUAGUACGAGAGGACCGUGACGGACAGACCUCCGGUGUACCGGUUGUGCCGCCAGGCGCACCGCCGGGUAUCCGCGUCUGGAUCGGAUAAGCGCUGAAAGCAUCUAAGUGCGAAGCUUUCCACGAGAUUAGAACUCCAUUGAGGGUCGUCGCAGACGACGACGUUGAUAGGGCGCAGGUGUAAAGACGGCGACGUCAAAGCCGAGCGCUACUAAUUGCUC
rnacentral:rRNA from 1 species